GCCCCGGGCGCCAUGGGCUGCGCCAAGAGCAAGGAGGGGCGGGCGGCCGAGCGGAAGGCCAAACGCAAGAGUGACCGGGGCGGUCGCACGGCAGGAAUCCAGGACCCUGGGCUGAGAGUGACAGACUCAAAGCGCCAGAGGCGGUUUUACACCGGUUUUAUCUGGAGAUUCUGAUUGGCUUGUGCUUCAUCCAGCCUGGCAUACCCUGGGCCAGAGGUCAGGGGCGGCAGCCGAGAGGAGCUACCUGGUGCCCGAGGUCAGGGGCGGCUGCUGAGAGAAGCUACCCCGCGCACGAGGUCAGGGGCGGCAGCUGAGAGGAGCAACGGUGCACCCGAAGUCAGGGGCAGCAGCCUACAGGAGCUACCCUGUGCCCGAGGUCAGGGGCCGUGGCCUAGAGGAGCUACCCGGCACCCGAGGUCAGGAGCGGAGGCCGAGAAGAGCUACCCCAUGUCCGAGAGUGCCUGAACUAUGGAGAUUUCUGACAUUGUACAGGAGGCAGCGAUUAAGACCAUCUCCAAGAAAAAUAAGAAAGCCUUCCUCAGUGAUCAGUACAAAAAAACAGAGGAAAACAAUAGAAUGGGAAAGACUAGAGAUCUCUUCAAGAAAAUUAGAGAUACCAAGGGAACAUUUCAUGCAAAGGUGGGCUCAAUAAAGGACAGAAAUGGUAUGGACCUAACAGAAGCAGAAUAUAUUAAUAAGAGAUGGCAAGAAUACACAGAAGAACUAUACAAAAAAAGAUCAUGAUCCAGAUAACCACGAUGGGGUGAUCACUCACCUAGAGCCAGACAUCCUGGAAUGCAAAGUCAAGUGGGCCUUAGGAAGCGUCACUAUGAACAAUGCUAGUGGAGGUGAAGGAAUUCCA
ensembl:lncRNA